rnacentral:ribozyme from 1 species
AUAGAAUGAAACAGUUGUGAAGAAAGAUUCAGUGUGCAAGGGGACAAGUAUCUUUAUCAUUCAUGGCCAUAGGAUUUGCGCUGUGAAAUGGUUUUGAAUAUUUUUUUUCUUUUUUUUCUUUUUUUUGCCAAAGUUUUGUCCAAAUUUGGGUACAUGUUGAUUUUUUGCCAAA